CACAGAGUUAGCCGAUGCUUAUUCCUCAGAUACCAUCAUUGUUUCUUCUCCGAGAAAAGAAGUUGACGACCCGUAGGCCUUCCACCUCCACGCGGCGUUGCUCCGUCAGGCUUUCGCCCAUUGCGGAAAAUUCCCCACUGCUGCCUCCCGUAGAAGUCUGGGCCGUGUCUCAGUCCCAGUGUGGCUGAUCAUCCUCUCGGACCAGCUACUGAUCAUCGCCUUGGUAAGCUAUUGCCUCACCAACUAGCUAAUCAGACGCGACGCCCCUCGUUGGGCGGUAUUUCUCCUUUUGCCUCCUCAGCCGUACGGGGUAUUAGCCUAACCGUUUCCAGUUCGUUCGUUCCCCUCCCGAAGGGUCCGGGUUCUUACCGCGUUACUCGACCCGUUCGCCCACGUACGGAAACCUACCCUACCUUCCCGUUCG
rnacentral:rRNA from 1 species